AAAAGACCUCUAAGUUUGAAAAAUCAGUCCCUAUGAUCUGAUACAGAUUAGCUUGAAGGGGGAAGAAAAACUUUUUCAGGUGAUGUUUGUCUGCUAAAAGGACACUGGUCUUUCUAAGAAAGAAGCAGAAUGAGUUUAUUUUUAAAGUGAACUUGAUGGGGGGAAGGAGAAGCAAAGGCAUAUAAACAAUAUAGCAAUGACGCAAGACAUAGACAAGACUGACCAAUGGAAAGAGGAAACCACAAAGAUCUAAAAGGACACCAGAAAAAAAAAAAGAAAGAAAACAAAAACACGAAACCUGACUUCACUUAUUUUCCCCCAGAUAUUAGUGCUGCAAAUUUAUUUUAAAUGGAGGCAGGCUGGCUUUUUACUAAAAGAUGAAGAAAAGGAACCAAUUAAAAUAGAAACUCCUUCCCAGGUAGAAUCAGAAAUAAAGCAGCCUCAUUUAACGUCAACUUACAUUCCUUCAUCUGUGGAUGCUUUGCUCUCUGGCUUGGUUCUUUUGGAUAAUAAUGCCAAGGUCCUACCCAUCACAGGAAUCGUGAUUGGAAUCCACCAGCCCAGCACCCCGUACUCUGGUGCCCCAAGUGAUUACAUGUGA
rnacentral:lncRNA from 1 species